AUUUGGUGUUGAGGGCAUUUGAUGCGUAAUUUUUUGAAUCUCUCCUAAUAAUCAUAGAGCGACUCUCCUAGAUGUUAUUUGAUACCACAUACCUCCUUCCUCAGACU